CAUGUCUUUUUGAUUAUAAUUUAAAGUCUAAUCUGCUCGAUGAAUUUUUUUAAAUGGCCGCGGUAUUUUGACCGUGCGAAGGUAGCAUAAUAAUUAGUUUCUUAAUUAGAAUCUAGAAUGAAUGAUUGGACGAGAAAUUUACUGUCUCAUAUUUAAUUAUUUAAAAUUUUACUUUUAAGUUAAAAGGCUUAAAUUUUAUUGGAAGACGAGAAGACCCUAUAGAGUUUAAUAUUAGUAGUAAAUAUCAUUUUUUGGAAUUUAUUUUUUAUUUAUCUAAAAUAUUUAAUUGGGGUGAUUAUUGAAUUGAAUUAACUUAAAUUAUUAAUUAACACAGAUAAGUGGUUUUAUGAUCCAAUAAUUUUGAUUAUAAGAUUAAAUUACCUUAGGGAUAACAGCGUAAUUUUUUUGGAAAGUUCAUAUUUAUAAAAUUGAUUGCGACCUCGAUGUUGGAUUAAAGUUUAAUUUUGGUGUAGAAGCUUAAAAAUUAGGUCUGUUCGACCUUUAAAACUUUACAUGAUCUGAGU
rnacentral:rRNA from 1 species